rnacentral:rRNA from 1 species
CUAAACGACUCUCGGCAACGGAUAUCUCGGCUCUCGCAUCGAUGAAGAACGUAGCGAAAUGCGAUACUUGGUGUGAAUUGCAGAAUCCCGUGAACCAUCGAGUCUUUGAACGCAAGUUGCGCCCGAAACCAUUCGGUUGAAGGCACGUCUGCCUGGGCGUCACGCA